AAUGUCCCCCAGAUACGGUUCAAGUUGUUACUUACCGUGGGGUAAAUUGGUACACAUAUUAAAAAACAAAAUUAUUUUCGUAUUUUGGUAACCUUAUCAUGCAAGUAAAGAACAUUUUAAAGUUUUAUUAUAAGCAUCUUAAAUGAAAUAUAUACCUUUUCUAUUUAAGAGUAAAAAAAAUGUAUACUUCAUCAGAGUUUGCGCAUACAAAAACAUAUAAUUUAGUCAUUUUGUCACACCUAAACAUGUCGUCUUUAUUAGAGCAAUAAAUGCGAGACCAUUCUAGAUAUAAAGGCGGGAUUCCACCAAGGCAACAUUCUGGCAACAUGUGGCAUGCUACAUUGUCGCAUGGGCUAAGUGUGUUUCCACCAGUUCAACAGAAGGCAACAUGUAGCAUGCGAUUGUGUGGCAUGCGACAGGUGGCAACAUGUUGCCGUGUUGCCUGACGCAUGCGACUAGAUUUAGCCUGUUGCCUAGUGUUGAACGCCUUCCCACCAGUCGCGGGAAGGAUUCCGUGUUGAAAGGCAACACGAUGAAUUGGUCACAAGAAAAAAACAUAGAAUUCAUAGAAGAGUAUAGAAAACUUUCAGUUCUGUGGGAUGUACGCUUGCAAGAGUACAAGAAUAAUCAGGCUAAAUUAGAUGCACUGCGGGGAUUAGCUGAGAAAUACAAUUGUGACGUGGAGAUGCUGAAGAAAAAGAUCAAGAAUUUGCGUACAGCAUUUCGCCGGGAACAUAAACGCCUAACCCAAAAGAAAUCUGGAUCUUCUCCCAUCAAGACAGGCAGGUGGUUUGCUUAUGAACUGCUUUUGUUCCUCCUGGACGUGGACACCCCAAGGCCUCGCUACUCAUCUCAAGCUGAACCUCAGACUGAGCAAUCACCAUGCAUUGAGGAUGAACCUGGAGGGGAUGAUCCUACUGAAACACUGGGAACGUCAUCGACUCUGAAUGCAGAAGCUCCUGAAGCUUCACAGGAAGCUGAGAAAGGCGACAGUAAUGACGAUGGCAAAGAGGCAAGCAACAAAAGAAGAGGACAGAGCUGGAAAAGAAAAACUGUUGAUGAUGAACGAGCUGAAGAGGCAUACCAGAUUUUGAAAGAUAGUGUGAAAAGGGAUGACUGUUCUAUUUAUGCUGAACAUGUUGCAUGUGAAAUUCGCAAACUUGAUCCAAAGGCCCAGGCAAUUGUGAAACACUUAAUUAACAACAUCUUAUUCGAAGCUGCUUUGGGGAAAUACGACAGUGGUGAUCGCUCUCAUCGAUUUGGUUUGCCUCCAGCGUAUCCUUUUCAUACCAGUGCCUCAAUCCGUUCAUCUCCUGGGGCAGACUGUGAACAUCAGCAUUUGCAAACAUGGUUCUUACACCUUAAGAAAUGGACAGAAGGGGAUGAAGAGGAGAAGGAAAUGGAAAGAGGGAGAAGAAAAGGCCAUGCAAAAUUAGUGGUCCAAAGUAGGGGUGAUCACCUACAUUGUGCCCCAGUCUCCGUUUCCUAAGUCCCCCUCAUGACAACAAUGAGCAAGGGAUUAGGGGGGAAAAUUAGUUCGAGCUGAGGACUUAGUAGGGGCGAUCCCCAACAUUUGGACUCGUAUGAACCAACAGUUCUACCAGAAGCUACACACCUUAACGGAAUCAACAAGGUCCUCCACAAGGAAGAGUCGCUUGAGUUCGCUGAUUGUGGAAUUGAUCUGCUGAAUGAUGAUAUCAGUAGCCUCGUGCACC
rnacentral:misc_RNA from 1 species